rnacentral:rRNA from 1 species
AACGAACGCUGGCGGCAUGCCUAACACAUGCCAGUCGAACGAGACCUUCGGGUCUAGGGGCGCAUGGGUGCGUAACGCGUGGGAACCUGCCCUUAGGUUCGGAAUAACUCCCCGAAAGGGGUGCUAAUACCGGAUAAUGUCUUCGGACCAAAGAUUUAUCGCCUUUGGAUGGGCCCGCGUUGGAUUAGGUAGUUGGUAGGGUAAAAGCCUACUAAGGCGACGAUCCAUAGCUGGUCUGAGAGGAUGAUCAGCCACACUGGGACUGAGACACGGCCCAGACUCCUACGGGAGGCAGCAGUGGGGAAUAUUGGACAAUGGGCGAAAGCCUGAUCCAGCAAUGCCGCGUGAGUGAUGAAGGCCUUAGGGUUGUAAAGCUCUUUUACCCGGGAUGAUAAUGACAGUACCGGGAGAAUAAGCUCCGGCUAACUCCGUG